rnacentral:rRNA from 1 species
CAGCACCUCAAGUGGUCAGGAUUAUUAUUGGGCCUAAAGCAUCCGUAGCCGGCGCUGUAAGUUUUCGGUUAAAUCUGUACGCUCAACGUACAGGCUGCCGGGAAUACUGCAGCGCUAGGGAGUGGGAGAGGUAGACGGUACUCGGUAGGAAGGGGUAAAAUCCUUUGAUCUAUUGAUGACCACCUGUGGCGAAGGCGGUCUACCAGAACACGUCCGACGGUGAGGGAUGAAAGCUGGGGGAGCAAACCGGAUUAGAUACCCGAGUAGUCC